GGGGGAAAAAUUAAUAAUUUAAAAAUAUGAAAAAAAAUUUUAAUAUAAAAUAUUUAAUGGGGGUUAAAGUAUAUUUAUAGAAAAAAUUAUAAAAUUUAUAGAGAAAUAGUAUUGUGGAAGAAAUUUGAAAAUAUUGAAAUAAUAAUUUAUAUAAAAGUAAAUUUAAUUUAUUGUAUCUUGUGUAUCAGAGUUUAUUAAAAAAAAUAAUUUAGUUUAAUUUAUUUCGAAUUUCAAAGAGUUAAUUAAUUAAAAAAGUUAAUAUUGCAUAAUUAUUUUUAAUAAUUAAUUGGAAAUGAAAAGUUAAUCGUUUUGAAAUAUAUCUAAUUUUUUUAGAAAAAAAUUUAAUUUUAAAUUAAUUUUUUUAAUAAAUUAAUUAAUUAAUUUAUUAAAAAUUUAAUUUUAUAUUUUAAGGGAUAAGCUUUAAAUUAAAUUUUUAUAAUAAAAAUAAAAUAAUUGAAAUUUUUAAGAUUUAUAUUUUUUAUAAAUUAUAAUUUUUUAUAAAUAAUUUCAUUUAAUUAAAAUUUUUUUUUAAUUUAAUUUUUUAUAAAAAAAUAUUUUUUAAUAAAUAAAAAAUAGUUAUAAUGAUAAAAUUAGUAUAUAAUUAAUAAAUAAAUUAAAAAUUAUUAAAAUUAAUAAAAAGGAAUUCGGCAAAAAU
rnacentral:rRNA from 1 species